rnacentral:rRNA from 2 species
AAUCCAUAGGUUAAUGAGGCGAACCGGGGGAACUGAAACAUCUAAGUACCCCGAGGAAAAGAAAUCAACCGAGAUUCCCCCAGUAGCGGCGAGCGAACGGGGAGGAGCCCAGAGCCUGAAUCAGCAUGUGUGUUAGUGGAAGCGUCUGGAAAGGCGCGCGAUACAGGGUGACAGCCCCGUACACAAAAGCGCAUGUGCUGUGAGCUCGAUGAGUAGGGCGGGACACGUGGUAUCCUGUCUGAAUAUGGGGGGACCAUCCUCCAAGGCUAAAUACUCCUGACUGACCGAUAGUGAACCAGUACCGUGAGGGAAAGGCGAAAAGAACCCCGGCGAGGGGAGUGAAAAAGAACCUGAAACCGUGUACGUACAAGCAGUGGGAGCCCCACCACCAAAGCAUUUGCUGUACCGCGUUGACGGAGCG